rnacentral:rRNA from 1 species
CAGCCGUAAACUAUGCUCGCUAGGUGUCAGGCAUGGCGCGACCGUGUCUGGUGCCGCAGGGUAAGCCGUGAAGCGAGCCACCUGGGAAGUACGGCCGCAAGGCUGGAAACUUUAAAGGAAUUGGCGGGGGAGCACAACAACGGGUGGAGCCUGCGGUUUAAUUGGACUCAACGCCGGACAACUCACCGGGGACGACAGCAAUAUGUAGGCCAGGCUGAAGACCUUGCCUGAAUCGCUGAGAGGUGGUGCAUGGCGUAGACGUCU